UACCAAAUAGAGAGGGGGACAACAGUGAAGAUGCACUUGCACUGCCAAUUCAAUAUGGGGCAGGGACUCAGAGUUAUGGGGAACUCCAUGCAUGCAUCAAGCUUUUAGAGUGAGUAGUUGAACCAUCUUCAUCUUAGUUGGAGCAGCCGUAUGUACCAUCGUAUCAGGCAUUGCAGUAUAGUGGGUAUGAUGCGCUGUGUGGAAGCAAGCUGGGACAGAAUGAACUCCCAGGUAAUAUUCUAAAUCUGUGUAGACAUCAGUAUGGCAAAAGUGGACCUUGAGAAUUUGACCACCGAUGACCACGUUUAUAUUAGCUAAACCUACAUUUUUUUUCCAGCACAUAAAACUAACAAAGUCUUAUAACCAUAUCUGUUUACUCAAAUGAGCAGUGAAGCCUUCAGUUAGAGUAUGUAGUAUGGGUUGU
rnacentral:lncRNA from 1 species